rnacentral:rRNA from 1 species
AUUUUGGACAAUGGGCGCAAGCCUGAUCCAGCAAUGCCGCGUGCAGGAUGAAGGCCUUCGGGUUGUAAACUGCUUUUGUACGGAACGAAAAGGUUCUGGUUAAUACCUGGGGCUCAUGACGGUACCGUAAGAAUAAGCACCGGCUAACUACGUGCCAGCAGCCGCGGUAAUACGUAGGGUGCAAGCGUUAAUCGGAAUUACUGGGCGUAAAGCGUGCGCAGGCGGUUAUAUAAGUCAGAUGUGAAAUCCCCGGGCUCAACCUGGGACCUGCAUUUGAGACUGUAUAGCUAGAGUACGGUAGAGGGGGAUGGAAUUCCGCGUGUAGCAGUGAAAUGCGUAGAUAUGCGGAGGAACACCGAUGGCGAAGGCAAUCCCCUGGACCUGUACUGACGCUCAUGCACGAAAGCGUGGGGAGCAAACAGGAUUAGAUACCCUGGUAGUCCACGCCCUAAACGAUGUCAAGUGGUUGUUGGGUCUUCACUGACUCAGUAACGAAGCUAACGCGUGA